rnacentral:rRNA from 1 species
CUAGUAACGGCGAGUGAAGCGGGAAUAGCUCAAAUUUGUAAUCUCGGCGGUUUCCGUCGCGAAUUGUAAUCUAAAGAGGGUGAUCUAGGUGUGCAAGGCUGACAAAGUUCCUUGGAAUAGGACGCCUGAGAGGGUGAGAGCCCCGUAAAGUCAGUCUUAAUCACCAAAGUGAGAACCUUUCAAAGAGUCGAGUUGUUUGGGACUGCAGCUCAAAUUGGGUGGUAAAUCUCAUCUAAGGCUAAAUACUGGCAAGAGACCGAUAGCGAACAAGUACCGUGAGGGAAAGAUGAAAAGCACCUUGAAAAGGGAGUUAAAUAGUACGUGAAAUUGUUAAAAGGGAAACGAUUGAGACCAGUAUUGUGGUGGGAUUGUGAUGUUUAGAUUUCGGUCUUGACAAAGCGCCUGCUACGAGUCAAUGUCAAUUGAGCUGGCUGGAUAUGCACUGGCGGAAGGUGGGCUCUCUCUUCGGAUUGGGUCUUUAUAGACGCUAGAUGUUGCAGCCGGAGCGAUUGGUAGAAGAGGGAUGCAUGCCUGGAUCUGGCUGGCAAGCUUGUGCACGACAUGUCGAGUACCGGCCCAACAGACAGUGAGGGGUAU